AUCUUCUUAGCUCAGUUGGCUAGAGCGUGGUGCUGAUAACGCCAAGGUUGCAGGCUUGAUCCCCGUAUGGGACG